rnacentral:misc_RNA from 1 species
ACCGAAGCCUGUAACCGCCUCCGGGCGUGACGGGCGGCUGGUAUCCUCCUUCUGAGGGGUGUAUGGUGCAGCUUGGGCCGGUCCUUAUGGGUCGUGCAUCCCCAAUGUUGCAGCGGACCAUCCCUUGGGCAACUCAGUGGGUGCAAUUGGAUAGUCCGUAGGCACCUUUGGCGGCUUUGGCCCUGAAGGUGGCUCGGGUUGGGUGCUGGGCUUCGGUCCGCGCCCCAAUCUCUUAACUAGCUCUGAUGCCUCUUGAUUGAGGAUUACCGGCGGCCUUUCGCCUUUCGGGGCGAGGGGCCUCCCGGAAAAGAUAGUUACCUGGUUGAUUCUGCCAGUAGUCAUAUGCUUGUCUCAA